rnacentral:rRNA from 1 species
UACGGAGGGUGCAAACGUUGCUCGGAAUCAUUGGGCGUAAAGCGCACGUAGGCGGCCUGUUAAGUCGGAUGUGAAAGCCCUUGGCUCAACUGAGGAAGUGCACCCGAAACUGAGUGGCUUGAGUACUAAAGAGGGUCGCGGAAUUCCCGGUGUAGAGGUGAAAUUCGUAGAUAUCGGGAGGAACACCGGUGGCGGAAGGCGGCGACCUGGGUAGAUACUGACGCUGAGGCGCGAAAGCGUGGGAGCAAACAGGAGUAGAAACC